rnacentral:lncRNA from 10 species
GUUUAGACACAAAAAUGUCUUUGUUAAAAAACAAACAAACAAAAAAACUAAAGUGCACUGUAAAAGCAUCACAUGGUCUAGCCUCAUAAUAAUUCUUCCUUUUUGGAGACCCAGGAUUCAGUGUGGGCUCUGCUCAGAACUCAGAAAUCCAGUUAAAAGGGCUUUGACUCUUGGACCUAAAAAGGACACUGAGUCCUGCUAAAAUCUUAAACACUGACAGCAGUUAAAGUCUCAUCUUCAGACCUGGUAGAAGAUGCCAUUCACAAUAAACUGUGUUUGUGAGACACAGAGCCAAACAUUAAAACUGUUCGACUUGGCCGGGAAUGGUGGCUCACUCCUGUAAUCCCAGCACUUUGGAAGGCCGAGGUGGGUGGAUCACCUGAGGUCAGGAGUUUGAGACCAGCCUGGCCAACAUGGUGAAACCCCGGCUCUACUAAAAAUACAAAAAUUAGCUGGGCAUCGUGAAGGGUGCCUUUAAUCCCAGCUACUUGGGAGGCUGAGGCAGGAGAAUUGCUUGAACCUGGGAGGUGGAGGUUGCAGUGAGCUGAGAUCGCGCCAUUGCACUCCAGCCUGGGCGAAAAGAACAAAACUCUGUCUCAAAAAAAAAAAAAAAAAAAGAAAGAAAAAGAAAAAGAAAAAACUGUUCAACUCCUCAGAGCCCAAGGACUAUCAUGGAAGAGGUGGGCAUGUAAGAUUGUAAGGGCUGGCUUUAAGAGAUAAAAUUAGUUCAGUUUCUCUAGAAAUUAACUAUUAAUAUCAAAGGCACACUGAUGCAAAACCAGCAUCUGGGCCUCGGUGACCGAUUAACAAGGUUUUAUUGGAGCAUUAACCCACUCCUUAAUACAAAAUUAUAAAGAUUACAAGAAGGUUAAUAGAAAUUAUAUUGUAUGGUCAAGAUGAUUAAAUUGUAUAGGUUGUUUACAAGAUGUUGAGAGACACAUUUAAUUGACCUUACACUGUCUUUAUUAAGGAUUAUUGUUUGGAAAAUUGUCUCCUCUCUCAAAUAAUAAAGGUUUCCACCUUUUUUGAAAUCUGUGGGUUAUUACUUUGGCUAAAUGAAUGACCUGUUUUACAAUGACCUGUGAUUCUAUUCUGGCAAUAUAAAGUGUUUUAAACUUUUUAUGUUCAGCAAGCUUUCCAAAAUUAAGUUCUAACUUCAGUCCUCAUUAAUUUUUGGAUUUUGGUUUCCUGAAGUCCAAAAGAGACAUAUUUGGCUUAUUAUCAUACAAGAAGUAUUGUCAAAUAUGAAACAGUGUUUAAUCUUCUUGGGAUUAUAUUUAUAUAAAUGUAUUAUUAGUGUGUGUUCCAGAAUUGUAUGAAAUUCCUGUGAUUCUAAUAUGUCUUAACGUAUGUUAUCAGUAGUAAUUAUGAUUAUUAUGUAAAAUCGGUGUAUGCCAUAGAAGUAAACAAAUUUCCUUGUCAAUUGUGUCUUUAGCUAUGCCUGUUCUAAAACUUGUCAUAUACAGUUCUUUUUACUUUUAUCCUUUUCCAAAGAUGUUUUUAUAAUCAGCUAUAGGAUUCUGACAGAUGCUGUCAAAUGCAGGUUUCUGAUAACUAUGGAGAUUGUUACACUAGAAUACAGAGAAAACUUCCAAGACUCCCAAGGAGAGUUAAAGAUGAGUAUCAAGCAGAACAGGAGUUAACUGCAUGGACUAAACUUAUAGAAGACUGACAUAAUCCUUUUAUGAAUUUUUGCUUUAAAUAUUGCUAAUCCUUUGUUUUUGAGAGCCGAGAAAACUGUUCUUUUGAGCUAUUUGCAGCUUUUAAGAAUUGGGUAAACUAUACUCAGAUAAACAAAAUAUGGAACAUAUUUCUCUCUACCUGAUUUAUACAAAAUUUGAGAAGUAGUUGUGAGUAUUCUUUACUUAUGGCAAUGUAGUUAUUUACAUAAGUGCAUUAAGAAUCUGUUUUCUUUUGUAACAGGACACAAUUGGAAACACUGGUUAUUUUACCAGUGUCUUGACUUGAAUGGGGUACUUUCAGAUACAGACUCCUUUAAGGAAUUAAAGUUAACUUAUACAGCCAAUAAAAGCCCCUGGGGAAAACUGGCAUAAUACCUUGUCUAGGCAGCCCUGUACAGACUCCUGACCUAUGGAUGUGAGACUUCACAACCUUCUAAAAAUGAGUUUUCCUAACAACAUGGGACCUACCCUUCUAGGAAUAAACCAUCCUAGCCAUGAGAAAUCAGAUGAAAACUGGGACCAGAGACUCUUUUUCUUCUAAAAUGCUUUUUCUGAAAGAUUUUAAAAAGAAAAGAAGGGAAAUGUGAAAGGAAAAUAAAAUUUUAGACCCCAACACCACUAAGCUAAAGGGAAAAGUCAAGCUGGGAGCUGCUUAGGGCAAAUCUGCCUCCCAUUCUAUUAAAAGUCAUUCCUCUGCUUACUGAGAUAAAUGCACAUCUGAUUGCUUCCUUUGGAGAGGCCAAUCAGCAACUCAAAAGAAUGUAACCAUUUGUCUCUUAUCUACCUAUGACCUGGAAGACCCCUCCCCACUUUGAGUUGUCCCACCUUUCCAGAUGAAUCCAAUGUACAUCUUAAAUAUAUUAAUUGAUGUCUCAUGUCUCCCUAAAAUGUAUAAAAUGAAGCUGUGCCCAGACCACCUUGGGCACAUAUCAUCAGGGCCCCCUGAGGCUCUGUCACAGGUGCAUUCUUAUCCUUGGCAAAAUAAACUUUUUAAAUUGACUGAGUCCUGUCUUAGAUAUUUUGGGUUAACAGACAAAAUAACCAACUUUGCUUCCAUUCUUAAACAAUACUAAGUUUUGCAGAUACAAAACAUUUGUAAUAGUCAAGUGUUUUUAUAAAUACUAAUAUAUUAUUUAAAGACCUAUAAGCAUCUUAUAUAUUUUAAAAAAUGAUAGUAAUUACUGAGAAAAAGAAAAUAAAAUUACAAAAUUGCAGAUAAUAGAUCAAUAAAGAAACUUUUCAAACCACGAUAAUGUAGUUCAACCUUCUUAUUUUUAAUAUGAGAAACCAAAACACAGGGAGAUUGACUAUUACAGGUUUACAAGGUUUUCUAGCUCCCAGUUUAGUGCUCUUUCUUUUCUGUUAGCUUGCCUUCAAAUUCUAAACGUUUAGAUGUUUUUAAACUAUACAUAUUCUGAGUUAUUCAAUUCAGAAAUAACAGACACAAUUUCUUUAAAAUAACUCCAACAUUUGAAAUCUACAUAUUAUAAGAGACCAGAAUAUGCCAUUCCAAAAUGUGACUGUAGAAGACUGGAAUAUAUCACAUCAAAAUAUGUCUCUUUAGCAUAGGAUUAUGUGCUGAUUAUUUUGAGAAA